CGCAUCUUGCAUUACUUUCUGUAACCUUUCAUUUUCAAAACAUUCAUUUUCGUUGUUAGGUAUUUUCGAGCCGGUCGCAUUAUGUCCGAAUAUGUCAUAACUGUUGGUUUUGAGUGCUUCAAGACGAGAGAUUCAGGAGCGAAAAGUGAAUUGAAAAAUACAAAAUGAAGGAUAUCUCUUUGUGAAGAAUUAGGCAACUUAUUAAAAUGGCAAAACACAUCAAAUCCUGCGAUAACUGGAUUCAGAUUCAAGAUUUGAUAGGCAAACACAUAAUUGCCUUUGAAAUUAGAGAGGAUUAUAAAGUUAACGAUGGCAAUGAAUUUUCAUUUUCACCAAUUGUACAAUUUAGCAACGAGGAAUAUUAAAUAUAUUAAACAUGAAUAAUUUUAAAGAUAAAGAUGAUAGAGACGAUGAGAAAGGAUCUGUAUCCCUUUAUAAGCUUUGCAAAAUUAAAAGCGAAGAUAACAAGUUUGAUCACGAAUCAAAAGUCAUAAAAUUUCUUGAGCAAAAAGUUGAAGAAAUUGUUCCUGCUAAUGGUCAAAUUACCAUUCAUUAUAUCAGAAUUUUGAAGACAAAGAUGAACCUUUUUAUUCAACUUAUUCUUCUGAAAAGCCAAGAAUGCUGCGUUUAGGCCAAGAAUGCAUUAUAUCUGAUUUAGAGAUUGGCAUAUAUUACGCAGAACCAUGAAAUAUUUUAGAUACAUCGUAAUCUUGCUUAUAAAACUGUCCACCACAUUCCUACACAGUGAGGAAGUAGUAUUUGUUGUCCAUUUAAUUAACUACCUUGAUGAUGGUUCUGCAGAUACUUAUCAAAAUAUUAAAAUAGAAGAGAAGCAAUAUCUAAGCAUAUAUUAAAGCCAGUAAUAUACAUAUAUUUGUGGCUGCUAAGUUGCAAGUUUAAUUUCAAACAGGCAAUAUGAAAGUAAGCAACAUUAUAUGAGAUUUAUG